CCCGACUCAGAGCCCGGUCCCGACUCAGAGCCCGGUCCCGACUCUGAGGCAGGUCCCGACUCUGAGGCAGGUCCCGACUCUGAGACAGGUCCCGACUCAGAGGCAGGUCCCGACUCGGAGGCAGGUCCCGACUCGGAGGCAGGACGAGGCUCAAUGUUUGGUUCCCUCUGAGACGGUUUUUG